AGAGCGAACGCUGGCGGCGUGCUUAACACAUGCAAGUCGAGUGCGCGCCUGUAGCAAUACAGGUGGCGCACGGCGCACGGGUGCGUAACACGUGGGUAAUCUGCCCUUCGAUGGGGAAUAACUCCGGGAAACCGAAGCUAAUUCCGCAUAACAUUCCUUGAACUUCGGUUUGGGGACUCAAAGCCGUAAGGCGUCGGAGGAGGAACCCGCGCACGAUUAGCUAGUUGGUAGGGUAACGGCCUACCAAGGCUUUGAUCGUUAGC
rnacentral:rRNA from 1 species